rnacentral:sRNA from 1 species
ACAGCUCGUGGAGUCCGGCCGGAAGAGCAACCGAGAUGAAGGUGAAGAUGCUGAGCCGGAAUCCGGACAAUUAUGUCCGCGAAACCAAGUUGGACUUACAGAGAGUUCCAAGAAACUAUGAUCCUGCUUUACAUCCUUUUGAGGUCCCACGAGAAUAUGUAAGAGCUUUAAAUGCUACCAAACUGGAACGAGUAUUUGCAAAACCAUUCCUUGCUUCGCUGGAUGGUCACCGUGAUGGAGUCAAUUGCUUGGCAAAGCAUCCAGAGAACCUGGCUACUGUCCUUUCUGGGGCGUGUGAUGGAGAGGUUAGAAUUUGGAAUCUAACUCAGCGGAAUUGUAUCCGUACAAUACAAGCACAUGAAGGCUUUGUACGAGGAAUAUGUACUCGCUUUUGUGGGACUUCUUUUUUCACUGUUGGUGAUGACAAAACUGUGAAGCAGUGGAAAAUGGAUGGGCCAGGCUAUGGAGACGAGGAAGAGCCAUUACAUACAAUAUUAGGAAAGACAGUGUAUACUGGGAUUGAUCAUCACUGGAAAGAAGCUGUUUUUGCCACAUGUGGACAGCAAGUAGACAUUUGGGACGAACAAAGAACUAAUCCUAUAUGUUCAAUGACCUGGGGAUUUGACAGUAUAAGUAGUGUUAAAUUUAACCCAAUUGAGGUAAUGUUUUUUUUUAAGUAUGUUUUGCUUUUUGUUUCCUUAUUAUGGCUUAAUAAUUUCAGUUCUGUUUAGAAAACUUUUGAAUGUAUGAUAGAAACUUCUGAAUUUUCAUGGUGUUUUGGCAUUUUGUCAAUUUUCCCGAUUGUAAAUGAGUUCUGAUACCUUUGCUCAAAUCCCAACAUGUUUCCCAGCAGUUUAGUCCCAGAUACUAGAGUUAAGCAUUGUUAGAGGAGUGGCGUGUGCAUUUGCCCAUUGGGGUAAAAUCCAAGUAAAUAUAGUCUUGUUUUAACUUUAGUUUUACUCAUGCCUUCAACCUCAUGUUCCAUAGAUUAUGUCAUUGUACAUUUAGGAAAAUGUUAAUUUUUCUACCUGCCUUGGAGGUCAGAAGAAGGAGCAUUGGACAUCAUUUUAUCUAUUUGUAAUUGGUAAGGUACCAAUGCUUCAUAAAAACAUUUGUGAUUAUUGUUGAACUGCAUGGUAAUUAGUUAUAGUUAUAUUUUUCUUUGCUCAGAAGUCUGAAUUGUGAUUCCCAGUUCCUCCAGGCCUAAGGGAAGAGUUGGAGAUUGGCCACUACAUGUUGUCUGUUUAGGUCUGAAUUUACAAAUGGAGGCUGUCCUGAAGGCUAAGCUAGCCCUUGGACUCCAGAUCUUUCUCUGAACUUUUUCUUAAUACAUAACAAUAGAUGAACUGAUUGUCCAGAAGACUCAGUAGGGAUAUGUUUUUCCUGUUGAAAGAAAAGGCAAUCAUAGCAUAUAUAAGCCAAUUUUAGCAGUUAUUGCGAGGCUACCAUUUUAGGUAGUAUGAGAGAAAAAUGCUAAUAUGCAAGUGUUAUGCUCUUAAAGACCCAACCUGAUAAAAGAUAGGAAGUAAGGUUGAGUCAAAAUAGUAAGGUAUAAAAAUAGUUUGUAUGAUAUACUGGAAAAUGAGAUGCUGCAGUGCGAUGUGAGCUUGGCCUUGAGGAAUUACUGAGAAGUAAGAGGACACUCUUCCUGCAACUACCACAUGCUCACACACACACUUUCUAGAGACGCUACAGGUCUAGAAUAGGUUGGCAAACUAGUCUGUGAGCCACAUGUGGCCCACUGCCUGUUUUUGUAAACAGAGCUCUGCUAGAAGACAGCCAUGUUCUCUUGCGUACAUAUUGUCUGUAGCUGCUUUCGUGCUAUGAUGGCAGAGUUAAGUAAUUGCCACAGAGACCAUAUGGCCCACAAAACCUAAAAUACUUACUCUCUGGCCCUUUACAGAAAAAGUUUUCUGAUUCCUGGUCUGGAGUAUCUGUCUCUAUUAUAUCUUUCUCACUCCAUCCUCCAUCUUCCUUCCUUAUGUUUCCCUUGGUUGUAGAAGAGAGAAAUGGCAUGGAAAGGCAGCUACCCUUGCAGAGCAGGACCAAGUGUAAAAGUUGAUAACAUAUGUGAACAUUUUUUAAAAGUGCUAUCCAAAUUCAAGAUGGUGAUGGUAUUACGUACUAAAAAAAAAAAAAACACAAAAAAAACCUAAACAAACACUGGUUCUUACUAUUUAGAGGAACAAAAAAAUCUUUUGCUUCUCUGCUUUGGUGAACAUCUGUGUCAGAAGAGCUGAUCACCAAUUCUAAAAUCGUAAUUAUUAGGGAUGACCUAGUGACCAUGUUUUUCAAACUUGCCUGUAUAGCAGCUGUAUUUGUUCAGCUGUUUUUUUUUUUAAUUACUAUUAACCUUAUGAACUUAGUGGUAAAAGUAAAUGGUGUGCGUGUCUCUUAUCCUAUUUUAAACUUAAUGGAAAGGGCAUGUUGCUGUGAACAAAUGGAGUGUAUUUGUAUUUGUCUCCUCUAAUCAUUAAUAAUUAAUUUUCUCUUAAAAUAUUGAAGCCUAGAAUUCUGGUAAAGCCAAAAGUUUAUGCUGAUCAUUGGGACGUUUUACAGUGUGAAAGGUGGCAUUUGGUCUAGGUAGAUUGUUUUGCUUUGUUCAGAUCAAAGUCUUUCUUUUUAGAAAUGGAACCUGGUCAGACCCUGAGGCGACAUAAUGAGAAGCCAAGAAAGGUUGAGGGACCUCACUAGGGAAGUCUCAGAAAAGCAGCCAUUAAGAUAGCAGGCUUUCAGAAAGAACUGAGAGGAAAUCAUGAUCAUAACAUUAGCUUUAUGAUGUGUUAUUUGAAUUGCGUACAGACAGUAGGAGGAGUUAGCUGGCCAUGCAACUAUUUAGUAAAUAGCUCUUCUUGCUGCCCACAUACUUGCAAUAGGAAGUAAUUGUAGGCAGAAGCCAAUAGUUGUGAGUGUCAGGAACCAUGAGUGAGGAGGAAUGAUGCUACAGAGAGAGGGUUUCAGGGAUCCACUGGAUGAUAGAGGGCUUAUUUUUACUUAAUGCCAAGGGGUUAUGUGAGUACCAUGCACAUUUAUAAUUGACUUACAAAUAAAAUAAUUAGAAAAAUCUUCAAACAGUUGGACAAAAGACAGGCCUAAUUUAUAGAGAGUUAACAACACAAAGAAACAUUUACUAAUAGAACAAUAAAUUUAUAUAGCUAGGAAAUACUGUCAUACAGAUAUUAACUUUUAAAUGACACUACUCAGUGCUGCCCAGUUGCGUUAAAAUGGACAUAUCCCACAUUGUAGUGUAUACUGCUACAGCUCUUUUGAAAAAUAAAUAGCCCUAAAUAUCAAAAGCCAUAAAAUUGUUCAUACCUUUUGAUUCAGUAAUGUCAUUUGUGAAAUUUUAUCCUAAGGAAAUAAUUCAAAAGAAGAGCUACGUGGGGGGGAAAUGUUUAUUGAAGUAUUACUUAUAAUAGUAAAAAACAGGAAACAAGUCUUAAGUUGAAGAGUAGGUAAGUAAAAUAUGUUUUAUUACAAAUUAGAACACAGUAGUAUCUGUACAUUAAAAUACAUGCAUGGGGGCCAGGUGCGGUGGCUCAUGCCUGUAAUCCCAGCACUUUGGGAGGCUGAGGCAGGUGGCUCACCUGAGGUCAGGAGUUUGAUACCAGCCUGGGCAACAUGGUGAAACCCUGUCUCUUCUAAAAAUACAAAAUAUUAGCCCGGUGUGGUGGCGCACCCCUGUAAUCCCAGCUCCUCCACAGGCUGAGGCAUGAGAAUUGCUUGAACCUGGGAGGUAGAGGUUGCAGUGAGCCAAGAUUGCACCACUGCACUCCAGCCUGGGUGACAGAGCAAGACUCUGUCUCUAAAUAAAUAAAUAAAUAAAAUACAAGCAUGAGGAUUUUACAAUGAAAAUACUUGGUUUAAGUUGCUGAGAUUAUGGAUGAUUUAUUGUACCCUCUUAAAAUGGACUUUGUUUUUUAACAUAAAUAUUAAGGGCAAUUAAAUCAUUUGUUUACUGAAUGGAUGUGGUUUGCUGCCAGGUCUGGCUUUUAACUGGUGAUUGUUAUACUUGUUUUUAGACAUUUCUCUUGGGAAGUUGUGCAUCUGACAGGAAUAUAGUACUGUACGAUAUGAGGCAAGCUACUCCUUUGAAAAAGGUUAUCUUAGAUAUGAGAACAAAUACAAUCUGUUGGAACCCUAUGGAAGCUUUCAUUUUUACAGCAGCAAAUGAAGAUUAUAACUUAUAUACUUUUGAUAUGCGUGCACUGGACACUCCUGUAAUGGUCCAUAUGGAUCAUGUAUCUGCAGUGCUUGAUGUGGAUUACUCUCCCACUGGGAAGGAGUUUGUGUCUGCUAGUUUCGAUAAAUCUAUUCGAAUCUUUCCUGUAGACAAAAGUCGAAGCAGGGAGGUAUAUCAUACAAAGAGAAUGCAACAUGUUAUCUGUGUAAAAUGGACUUCUGACAGCAAGUAUAUUAUGUGUGGAUCUGAUGAAAUGAACAUUCGCCUGUGGAAAGCUAAUGCUUCUGAAAAAUUGGGUGUGCUUACAUCACGAGAAAAAGCAGCCAAGGAUUAUAACCAGAAAUUGAAGGAGAAAUUUCAGCAUUAUCCUCAUAUAAAACGUAUAGCUCGUCAUCGACAUCUACCAAAAUCUAUCUAUAGCCAGAUUCAGGAACAGCGCAUCAUGAAAGAAGCUCGUCGACGAAAGGAAGUGAAUCGUAUUAAACACAGCAAGCCUGGAUCUGUGCCAAUUGUGUCAGAGAAGAAGAAACACGUAGUGGCAGUUGUAAAAUAAUUGGUAUUCCUAACAAUCCUGAUGUAUAAUUAUUUGUUACUUUUGCUUUGAGAACUCUACAAAUAAAAGUGCUGGGACUAGAUUAAUUGCAAACAUUUUAGUUAUAUGUGUAGAGCUUUAUUGUUACUCCUUUUAGCUACCCUGAAAAAUGAUCCUUAAAGGUGGCCUAGUUGGUAAGACUGUUUUAUCCUUAAUCUGCAUUCUUCUUUCAUUGUAGAAUACAGUAUUUGCAACUCAUUUUUUCUUGUUUUUAUUACAGAUAUACUUACUUUCUCUUUGAUCUAUUAUUGUAGACACUAUACAUUCAAAUUGACAUUUAAGACCAAACAUCUGUUAUGUUAUCUUUAAUAUUACUUUGAAUAAUGAUUGCAAUGAUGUUUCUUCCUGUGAUUCCACAUAACAUUUAGAAUAAUUAUGUCAAUUUUUUACAACUGAAUUUAUUUCUAGUGCUUUACUUAUAUUUGGCUUUUUGACUCUUUUAAAACAAUCAGCCUGCAUUUAUAUAACUUUUAUAAAUAAUAAUAUAAUUUGGGUCAAGUUAAGAUAUUAAAAGUUCCUUUCAGCAUUG